rnacentral:rRNA from 1 species
UAGGGAAUCUUCCGCAAUGGACGCAAGUCUGACGGAGCAACGCCGCGUGAGUGAAGAAGGAUUUCGGUUCGUAAAACUCUGUUGUUAGAGAAGAACAGCGCAUAGAGUAACUGUUAUGCGUGUGACGGUAUCUAACCAGAAAGCCACGGCUAACUACGUGCCAGCAGCCGCGGUAAUACGUAGGUGGCAAGCGUUGUCCGGAUUUAUUGGGCGUAAAGCGAGCGCAGGCGGUCAAUUAAGUCUGAUGUGAAAGCCCCCGGCUCAACCGGGGAGGGUCAUUGGAAACUGGUUGACUUGAGUACAGAAGAGGAGAGUGGAAUUCCAUGUGUAGCUGUGAAAUGCGUAGAUAUAUGGAGGAACACCAGUGGCGAAGGCGACUCUCUGGUCUGUAACUGACGCUGAGGCUCGAAAGCGUGGGUAGCAAACAGG